rnacentral:ncRNA from 3 species
UAGCAGCACAUCAUGAUUUGU